rnacentral:rRNA from 1 species
CCCUUAGAUGUUCUGGGCUGCACGCGUGCUACACUGAUAUUGCCAAUAUGUCAUUCUUAUCCGAAAUGGAUUGGGUAAUCAAGUAAUGAAAUUUCAUGCUUGGAAUCGGUAAUUGCAAUUUUAUCGUGAACGAGGAAUUCCUAGUAAGCACUAGUCAUCAGCUAAUGUUGAUUAUGUCCCUGCCCUUUGUACACACCGCCCGUCGCUCCUACCGAUUGAAUGUUCCGGUGAGCUCUUCGGACUGCGCGGUCUGCAGUUUCUGCGUUCCGUGCGGAAAGUUGUGCAAACCUUAACAUUUAGAGGAAGGAGAAGUCGUAACA